rnacentral:tRNA from 1 species
GAGGCUUUAUCUUAAUUAAAGUGUCUGGGUUGCAUUCAGAUGAUGGACAUUAGAGUUGUUCAAGUCUUA